CGGCCCGUCAUCGGGGAGUAGCCGCCCGCAACAAUCAGCGGGGCUCGCGUCAACAUGCUUCCUCUCCCGGAGAGGAUGGCGCGGGAACGGUCCGGGACCCUCUUGGGGUCCGGAUC
rfam:Caulobacterales bacterium RIFCSPHIGHO2_12_FTLL_68_13 rifcsphigho2_12_scaffold_18760, whole genome shotgun sequence.